ACCUGGAUCUUCACGAAGACGCACAGAGUGCUGCUCAACUGGAGAUUUUUCUCCGUCAGCAAAGCAAGGCAAGUGGGGACAGAGGGGCAAUGAGUGUCACAGCCCAAGGUGAAGACCCUGCGUCUGCCCAUAGACGACUCCUCCACCCCGCGGAGCCCCGAAGACAGCCUGCCCGGGGACGCAGCCCUCACCUGCGGUGUCCCAUAUAGAGAUGUUGAAGGAGCGCCACUGCUUCAGCACGAUCUUCCCAUCCGGCUUCCGCAUAGCCGCGGAGGAGGUGGCCCCUGCGCUUCUCGGUCACCCGUCCAGGAUGCCAGGGAACGCGGACCCCGGCCUCUAGGAAUCCAGAACUGUAGUGGCACUGGCCUGAGGUCCGAACUCGCUGAAGUUCCGGAGAGGAAGCGCUCCACCGCUCUGUACUAGAGAGUGAACUCAGCCCUGCGACCACGUGAGGUGCCCAGCCACCACGCCCACCCCACGCCCCCUGGGCCGCCCAGGUCCCGCCCCAGUCUUCUCCCAAGUCUCUUCCACACUCCCCAUCACCUCUGCCACGUCCCUAUUCCUAUCUCUCCUCUCCCAAAUUCCCCCUUUCCGCCUGCUAACUCUCAGCCCCACGCCCACUCCUCCCCAUUCUUCCACAUUCCUCCUCCCUCAAGAACCCUCCUGCGUCCCUGUAAUCCCAAACUCCGUUCCUCCUUUAUUUUUGUGCCUUUCUCAGAGUUCUGGCCCCUACCUCCCGCCCUCAACUCCUUCCCAUCCCUUCUCCCUCAAGCCCUUCUCCAGCCCAGCCAGCCCUUUUCUGGAACCCCUCUCCACUGGCCCAACCCACGCCAGCCCCCCUCUUCCUGCACCCCCAACUCUAGCAGGAUCACAGUACCGCUUUCACCCUUAGAAAGCCUGUGUGUUUCCAUGCUUGGACGCUCGAGUUCCUCCAACAGCCUGGGUUGGCGCAGAGCGGCCCAGGACCUGGUGUUUGCCUGGUCACAGUCACCCUGGACUCUGUUUCACUUCUCUUCCCCUGCCCAGCGCUCCUCGGUGCACCUUGGUUCCUCGCACACAGAUGGAGAGUUUGCCUGGCUAGGAAUGUCCCUUAGAAAUCGGCUAAGAUUUAAGGGAGGACGUGGAGGAGGUGGGACACUGGGAGAUACCUGCUAGAGAACCCUUGAAAUGCGUUCAAAAUCUUCCUCCAGCGGCUGAAGCACACGGAGGGAGGCGGAGGAGUUACCUGGCGCUGGGUAAAGCCCAGCCGGUCCUGCUUCCUUAAAGGGGAGAUGACUCUCCUAGGAGCUUCUCCCUCCACAGGUGCGAGAUUCCACUGAGGCUAAGCAAAGCCUCAAGCACCCUGCCUGAGAGCUGAGGACCAAUGCUCUUGGGAAUGCGGUGGAAGAGUACGUUCUGGGGCGUGGAAGGCUCACCAGACCGUGAAAACAGCUCCCUGUGAGUCUCAGGCUUCUGCUAGCCGCCCCACCUCUCCGCACGCCCUCCCAGGGAAAUUUAAGUUACUUCCAAUUUAUUAUGGGCUAGUU